UCCUACGGGGCGCAGCAGUGGGGAAUAUUGGGCAAUGGGCGAAAGCCUGACCCAGCAACGCCGCGUGAAGGAAGAAGGCUUUCGGGUUGUAAACUUCUUUUGUCAGGGACGAAGCAAGUGACGGUACCUGACGAAUAAGCCACGGCUAACUACGUGCCAGCAGCCGCGGUAAUACGUAGGUGGCAAGCGUUAUCCGGAUUCACUGGGUGUAAAGGGCGUGUAGGCGGGACUGCAAGUCAGAUGUGAAAACUCAGGGCUCAACCCUGAGCCUGCAUUUGAAACUGUAGUUCUUGAGUACUGGAGAG
rnacentral:rRNA from 1 species